UGUUGCCAGGAGCCCCGACGGCCGGGGGAGCCCGGGUUACGGAAGCCGGGCAGGGCUGAGCGCCAGGGCCCCCGGGAGGAAGUUACCCUCGGAAACGCGGAGAGCGGCGGCGGAGAGCGGCAUCCCCGGCCCCAUGGCGACGGAGGCGGCCAGCGGCAGCGAUGGGAACGGGCAGGGGGGCGAGGCCGCCGUCACCUACUACCGAUUGGAGGAGGUGGCGAAGCGCAACUCCCUGAAGGAGAUCUGGCUGGUGAUCCACGGGCGAGUCUACGAUGUCACCGAUUUCCUUAAAGAGCAUCCUGGAGGAGAAGAGGUCCUGCUGGAACAAGCUGGUGCAGAUGCGAGUGAAAGCUUUGAAGAUGUAGGCCACUCCUCUGAUGCCAGAGAAAUGCUAAAGCAGUACUAUAUUGGUGAUGUGCAUCCGGAUGACCUUAAACCUGAAAGUGGUAGCAAGAGAGUCCACACAGUACAGUGCCUCUUGGAAUAAUGUCUAGAAGACCAUAUCUCUGUAUACCAGGUGCAAGAUAGAAAACUCUACAUAUGGGACCCUUCGAAAGAUGCCACGUGCAAAAGUUGCUGGUCGUAUUGGAUUUUGCCCAUCAUAGGUGCCAUUGUCUUAGGUUUCCUGUACCGUUACUACACGUCGGAAAGCAAAUCAUCCUGAGGAGACUGGAAGUUGGAAAGCAUAUCCAUUGGGAGUGUGAGCUAGAGACUUGUUUGGAGGCCGAGCGAUGCCCUCUUCUUGAAUCCUGCCGAGUAUGUGCUUCCCCUUUGGAGCCCAAAUGGUUGGCCGGACAUCCACCCCAGACCUGGGGCCAGAGCCCUUCACUUCCCAGAGCCUUAUUCCCAAAGCACCUGCUCAUUGUUCUGUGUCCCUGCCAGUGGCCCCUCUCUCUGCUGGCUUCCACCAGCCCCUUUGCGUUUCCCAACUUUGUUUUAUAAUUACAAUCCCAGAUGUCCUAGUGACAUUGCCCUUUGGUAAAAAUGCCUGCUUUUCAAUUCUUUGAAUGCACAUUCGACAUUCUUAACAGGGCAACACACUCUGGUUUUGAAGCUUUCCUUUUUUCAUUUUCCUUUGAAGUAAAUAUAUAUAUGUAUAUAUAUAUUUAGUUCUGACUUAAUUCUAUUAUUUAUCAUAAGGGUCUUAAUUAAUGAAGUAAAAUUGCACACCUAUGACUUAAAACACAACUGCCAAAUGAUCUUGUUCCUUGUUUAUGUUUGUUAGAACUAGGAAGGGCCAUGAACUUCUGUCCUCCCUGCUAAUAAGUUCAUGGAGCAGAUAGCCCUUGUCAUCGCCCAAGUCCGCCAAGUGGUGCUGGACAGAACCAUGCUCCCCUUGUAUUUCUUGGGAGUAGAGAGAGAGAGAGAAGGAGGGGGAGAGAGAUGAAUUGGGGUAAUAGGGUGAACUCCUAGUCCUCUUUCUUUUGCAAAAUAUUGAAGACACUACUUUAGGACGGGAGUUUAGGAAGAGCACCAAAGACUUCAUUCUUUUUUUUUUUUCUCUCUCUCUUUCCUGAAGAUGUCAUGCUCUGCUUUGGUGUGGCACCACUUUCUAGCCAUCUUCUUUCUAUUCCCUCCACUUGUCUUUCAUUGGUGAGGGACAAAUUUAUAAUUCUAUCUGUAGAACUUUACCAGGGGUUUUUCCUGCUUUUUUAUUUAUUGCUUAGUGAAUUUUUUCUUGCUUAUAAAAGCAAGAGAGCCCAGCUUGAUCAAAGACACAGUAUUUGAUCUUCUGUUAGCCCCAGUAAAAUAACUUCCACAGUCAAGUGGCAUUCGAAAGGGGGAGAGCAUGACAACAGAAUGUUUUCUAUUUCAUCCGUAUUUUACCUCCAUGGUUCUAAUUUGUGGUUUUGCUGUUUUUCCAUUGGUGGGGGUGGGAACCCAAAACCAACUAGUAGUUUUGUUCCUUGGAUGAAUGUUUAAUCGAAGAGUAGGUCAUUAUUUAGAAUUAUGUUAGUGUUUCUUCUUAGUUCAGGAAUUUCUCUGGCUUGACUUCACCUCUUUUUCUCUGUGGAAGCACCUGAGGAGACAGCAUAUGGGCUGUUUUUUGCCAACACAACUGUGGUGAUUUUUCUCCCCAUCUUUUAAGGAAUCCCAGUUUGCUUCUGAGCCAUUGUUCUAUGCAGCAAGGAGCAGUUUGGUUCUAGAAGGUCCAUGGGCACUGCUCAGUAUCUCCUCUCUGCAGCAGCCCUCCCCCCGCCAGCUUGCCACGGCGUUGACAAGACAGGAAAGUGCCCUGCAAAGCAGCGUCCGCCCAUGGAAACUAUUUUUAAAAAGGUUCAGCACAGGUCCUGCAGUAGAGUGAAUUCAGAAUUCAUCAAAAUAAUAUUAACCUUAUAUUUGAACACUCGGACAUGAUAUUAUGGAGAAAUUGUAGGGGAUUUUUUGGCAGACUUUUAUAUAUCAGGGAUAUGGGAAUAGUCAAACUUUUAUCUUUAGAAAAUAUUUUGUAUCAGAUGCCACUUUUAGACAAUAUAUUGAAAAGAAACUUUGGUUAUUAUGUAAGAAAAGUGGUGUGACUAUGAUGCUCCUCCCACUUGAAGACAUAAGGAAGGGUUGCUUUGAAUAAGAAUUGGGAUAUAAUUGCUAUAAUAAUUAAGCUGCAUGAUUACAUGGGCCACAUUGGGGUAGAAAUGAAGAACAAAGGAGUAUUGAGGACCUGGAAGGGGAACAUUCAGGCUGAAACUAAGCCAGCAUAUAACUUGGAUCAAUUAAAAGUAUGUUGGCAGUCUCCAAAAUUAAAUGAAAAACAUCUGGCUUAUAAGAAAUGUUAAAGAGUGAUAGUCUUAAGUAAAAUUGGUGGUUUUUUAAAAAAAAUAUUUUUAAGGUAAACACCAACACAAAAGGUAUCUUUUUCUAUUUAAAAUUGCUUGUCUUUUCCUGUUUAUAUCUGGACUUGUUUUUACUUAGAGCCAGAGGAAAAGAUUUUCAGACUUUGUCUCUACCAUCCAUGAAAUCCGUCCAAUACCCAGGGCUUCUUUUGAUCUACUACUGAUGUCACUUUGUAUUAUAAAAACCACUUUGGAGUCCAUUUACUGCUAUUCUGCUGCCUGCACGAACAGCCAGGCAAAAGGUAGAGCUGGUGUGUGAAUUUGCAGAGAUUUUUGUAAACAGUAAAGUAACAAAGUAUGUUAGCCAAGUCCAUCAAAAAGGACUUAUUUUAAGAGGUAGACUCAAAUUCUCGUAACAGUCUCAACUUUGGUAGGUCAUGAAAACCCCCUUGGAGAGCAAGUGGAGCCAGUCCCCAUUCGCCCCUGAGAGUUGGUCUCUGGGGUGGUGGGUUGUUUGUUCCCAAGGAGAACUAGCUGCUGCCGUACACCACACUGUACACAUGAUGGCUGGAGAUCACAAAGGAGAGGAGGGAAAAUGUGUGCCGCCCAAAUGGGGAUAUUAGUACCAGGUCUCCAAAAUUUCCUAGCGCUGCCCCUUGGUCACUGGUUUUGGUUUCUAAAUACCUCCACGUUUGUAAAGACAAGAAGGUGGUAGGGACAAAGUUGAUACUGUGUUUAAUUCUUAUGUAACCUCUUAAACAGAAACAAAAAUCCAUUGGAACCUAUAAUUUGAGCCUGUAAAGUUCUUUUAGCAGUUGCCAUAAACGCAUGUGUUGUUAGACAAGAGCAUUGUUGAGUUUAUACUCAUUUAGUUCCGAUGUGAAGCAAUGAGAAAGGCUUUAUACUUAUAGGCCAGGUAUAUCAUUACUUAUGGUAUCUCAUGCUUCAGGUCACAAGCGAUACCUAUCUGAUUAAAUUCCAUUUAGGAGAUUGAAAUGCAGAAAUAUUAAUGUUCAUUACUUCCUUCCCUGGGAGAAAUAGAUUCAAACGUGUCUUGUCUCAACAAGAGAUUGACUUUUUUUUUGGACUUUUUUUUUUUUUUUAAACCAUCUCAUUCUGUUGCCAGAUAUCACAAGAGUAAUGGGGAGUUUAGUUCACAUUUGGCUGUUGUUCUCUGAAAGGGCCUGGUUUGGAAUUUGUGGGGGUGAUUUCAGAGGGAGGUUCCAGAAAGCAGAGAGGUAUUUGUCAAGUUACCUACCCAAUAUCUAGCAUCUUACUCAUAAGGUUUAGGAGCUGCUCUUCUGUACCUAUAGUCUACAUGUGCUCGUUGGGCAAAAUAUUAUGACUAUUUAACCUCCUUUCUUUUUUACUUCACCCUCAACUGUGAACGAGUAAUAUUAACAUUCCUUUUUGUGUAUUCAAUAAUGGAGUUUGUUUACCUAUUUUAUUUCAGCAUAUUUGGAACAAAGAUCUUUGUCUCUUUCUGCUGGAAUGUGCACACAGUGAAUGUUUGUUAGAACUACACACAAUAAAGAUACUGUUUUCCUUUUCUUGCCCUGA